AGCUCCAAUAGCGUAUAUUAAAGUUGCUGCGUUUAAAAAGCUCGUAGUUGGAUCUCAGUCUCGAUCGGUCGGUCCAUCCUCUGGGUGGUUACUGGCUCAAUCGGACGUUGUUGGCCACGUUUCCGAGCAUGCUCUUCAUUGAGUGUGUUCCGGAGAGUGGAGCGUUUACUUCGAAAAAAUUAGAGUGCUCAAAGCAGGCGUUGUGCCUGGAUAGUCGUGCAUGGAAUGAUGGAAUAGGGCCUCGGUUCUAUUUUGUUGGUUUCCGGAACUCGAGGUAAUGAUUAAUAGGGACGGACGGGGGCAUUUGUAUUGCGACGUUAGAGGUGAAAUUCUUAGAUCGUCGCAAGACAAACUACUGCGAAAGCAUUUGCCAAGAAUGUUUCCAUUAAUCAAGAACGAA
rnacentral:rRNA from 1 species